rnacentral:rRNA from 1 species
GAUGAACGCUGGCGGCGUGCUUAACACAUGCAAGUCGAACGAUGAAGCCCAGCCUGCUGGGUGGAUUAGUGGCGAACGGGUGAGUAACACGUGAGUAACCUGCCCUUAACUCUGGGAUAAGCCUGGGAAACUGGGUCUAAUACCGGAUAGGAGCGUCCACCGCAUGGUGGGUGUUGGAAAGAUUUAUCGGUUUUGGAUGGACUCGCGGCCUAUCAGCUUGUUGGUCAGGUAAUGGCUCACCAAGGCGACGACGGGUAGCCGGCCUGAGAGGGUGACCGGCCACACCGGGACUGAGACACGGCCCAGACUCCUACGGGAGGCAGCAGUGGGGAAUAUUGCACAAUGGGCGCAAGCCUGAUGCAGCGACGCCGCGUGAGGGAUGACGGCCUUCGGGUUGUAAACCUCUUUCAGUAGGGAAGAAGCGAAAGUGACGGUACCUGCAGAAGAAGCACCGGCUAACUACGUG